GACGAACGCUGGCGGCGUGCUUAACACAUGCAAGUCGAACGGAAAGGCACUGCUUUUGUGGGGUGCUCGAGGGGCGAACGGGUGAGUAACACGUGAGUAACCUGCCCUUGACUUUGGGAUAACUUCAGGAAACUGGGGCUAAUACCGGAUAGGAGCUCCUGCUGCAUGGUGGGGGUUGGAAAGUUUCGGCGGUUGGGGAUGGACUCGCGGCUUAUCAGCUUGUUGGUGGGGUAGUGGCUUACCAAGGCUUGGACGGGUAGCCGGCCUGAGAGGGUGACCGGCCACAUUGGGACUGAGAUACGGCCCAGACUCGUACGGGAGGCAGCAGUGGGGAAUAUUGCACAGUGGGCGGAAGCCUGAUGCAGAAACGCCGCGGGCGGGAUGACGGCCUUCGGGUUGUAAACCGCUGUCGCCUGUGACGAAGCGUGAGUGACGGUAAUGGGUAAAGAAGCACCGGCUAACUACGUG
rnacentral:rRNA from 1 species